AACACAUGCAAGUCGAGCGGAAACGAGUUAUCUGAACCUUCGGGGAACGAUAACGGCGUCGAGCGGCGGACGGGUGAGUAAUGCCUAGGAAAUUGCCCUGAUGUGGGGGAUAACCAUUGGAAACGAUGGCUAAUACCGCAUAAUGCCUACGGGCCAAAGAGGGGGACCUUCGGGCCUCUCGCGUCAGGAUAUGCCUAGGUGGGAUUAGCUAGUUGGUGAGGUAAGGGCUCACCAAGGCGACGAUCCCUAGCUGGUCUGAGAGGAUGAUCAGCCACACUGGAACUGAGACACGGUCCAGACUCCUACGGGAGGCAGCAGUGGGGAAUAUUGCACAAUGGGCGCAAGCCUGAUGCAGCCAUGCCGCGUGUGUGAAGAAGGCCUUCGGGUUGUAAAGCACUUUCAGUCGUGAGGAAGGUAGUGUAGUUAAUAGCUGCAUUAUUUGACGUUAGCGACAGAAGAAGCACCGGCUAACUCCGUGCCAGCAGCCGCGGUAAUACGGAGGGUGCGAGCGUUAAUCGGAAUUACUGGGCGUAAAGCGCAUGCAGGUGGUUUGUUAAGUCAGAUGUGAAAGCCCGGGGCUCAACCUCGGAAUUGCAUUUGAAACUGGCAGACUAGAGUACUGUAGAGGGGGGUAGAAUUUC
rnacentral:rRNA from 1 species